AGCAUGGGGAGCGAACAGGAUUAGAUACCCUGGUAGUCCAUGCCGUAAACGUUGGGCACUAGGUGUGGGGACCAUUCCACGGUUUCCGCGCCGCAGCUAACGCAUUAAGUGCCCCGCCUGGGGAGUACGGCCGCAAGGCUAAAACUCAAAGGAAUUGACGGGGGCCCGCACAAGCGGCGGAGCAUGCGGAUUAAUUCGAUGCAACGCGAAGAACCUUACCAAGGCUUGACAUGUUCUCGAUCGCCGUAGAGAUACGGUUUCCCCUUUGGGGCGGGUUCACAGGUGGUGCAUGGUUGUCGUCAGCUCGUGUCGUGAGAUGUUGGGUUAAGUCCCGCAACGAGCGCAACCCUCGUUCCAUGUUGCCAGCACGUAAUGGUGGGGACUCAUGGGAGACUGCCGGGGUCAACUCGGAGGAAGGUGAGGACGACGUCAAAUCAUCAUGCCCCUUAUGUCUUGGGCUUCACGCAUGCUACAAUGGCCGGUACAAUGGGUUGCGAUACUGUGAGGUGGAGCUAAUCCCAAAAAGCCGGUCUCAGUUCGGAUUGGGGUCUGCAACUCGACCCCAUGAAGUCGGAGUCGCUAGUAAUCGCAGAUCAGCAACGCUGCGGUGAAUACGUUCCCGGGCCUUGUACACACCGCCCGUCAAGUCACGAAAGUCGGUAACACCCGAAGCCGGUGGCCUAACCCUUGUGGGGGGAGCCGUCGAAGGUGGGACCAGCGAUUGGGACUAAGUCG
rnacentral:rRNA from 1 species